rnacentral:rRNA from 1 species
AGAGUUUGAUCCUGGCUCAGAACGAACGCUGAUGGCGUGCCUCAUACAUGCAAGUCGAGCGGGAGCAGCAAUGCUUCAGCGGCGAACGGGUGAGUAACGCGUAAACAAUCUGCCCAAAAGCGGGGGAUAACCAUCCUAACGGAUGGCUAAUACCGCAUAGGGUUAAGGGGUCUCCUGGCCUCUUAACGAAAGACUUCGGUCACUUUUGGAUGAGUUUGCGUCCCAUUAGCUUGUUGGCGGGGUAACGGCCCACCAAGGCAACGAUGGGUAGCCGGCCUGAGAGGGUGAACGGCCACAUUGGGACUGAGAUACGGCCCAGACUCCUACGGGAGGCAGCAGUAGGGAAUUUUGCGCAAUGGGGGAAACCCUGACGCAGCAACGCCAUGUGAGGGAUGACGCAUUUCGGUGUGUAAACCUCUGUCAGCAGGGAAUAAAAGCGCUUUUCGGAGCGCCGUGAAUGUACCUGCAAAGGAAGCCCCGGCUAACUUCGUGCCAGCAGCCGCGGUAAUACGAGGGGGGCAAGUGUUGUUCGGAAUUACUGGGCGUAAAGGGAGCGUAGGCGGGCGCGUAAGUGGGAUGUUUAAUGUCGGGGCCCAACCCCGGUUUUGCAUUCCAAACUGCGUGUCUUGAAUAGGGUAGAGGUAGAUGGAAUUGGAGGUGUAGCGGUGGAAUGCGUAAUAUCUCCAAGAAACACCGAUUGCGAAGGCAGUCUACUGGGCCCAUAUUGACGCUGAGGCUCGAAAGCGUUGGGGAGCAAACAGGAUUUAGAUACCCUGGGUAGUCCACGCCGUUAAACGAUGAACACUUAAGUAUUGUCCCUCGUCAACGGGGCAGUGCCGUAGCUAACGCGUUAAGUGUUCCGCCUGGGGAGUACGGCCGCAAGGCUGAAACUCAAAAGGAAUUGACGGGGGGCCCGCACAAGCGGUGGAGCAUGUGGUUUAAUUCGACGCAACGCGAAGAACCUUACCAAGGCUUGACAUGGGACAGACCGGACGAGAGAUCGUCCUUCUUCAGCAAUGAAGCUGUCCACACAGGUGCUGCAUGGCUGUCGUCAGCUCGUGUCGUGAGAUGUUGGGUUAAGUCCCGCAACGAGCGCAACCCUCGUUUCCAGUUGCCAGCAUUCAGUUGGGCCCUCUGGAGAGACUGCCGCGAAUAACGCGGAGGAAGGUGGGGACGACGUCAAGUCAUCAUGGCCCUUACGUCUUGGGCUACACACGUGCUACAAUGGGCGGUACAGAGGGUCGCAAUGCCGCGAGGUGGAGCCAAUCCCCAAAACCGCCCUCAGUUCGGAUUGGAGUCUGCAACUCGACUCCAUGAAGUUGGAAUCGCUAGUAAUCGCGGAUCAGUAUGCCGCGGUGAAUACGUUCCCGGGCCUUGUGCACACCGCCCGUCAAGCCACGAAAGGAGAGAGCGCUCUAAGCCGCGAUGGUAACCCGCAAGGGAGCCCAGCGUCUAAAGCGAGAUUUCUAAUUGGGGCUAAGUCGUAACAAGGUAGCCGUAUCGGAAGGUGCGGCUGGAUCACCUCC